rnacentral:rRNA from 1 species
GUUUUUAAUUGGAAUCUUGCAUGAAUGGUUGGACAAGAGAAAGACUCUCUUUAUAUUAAAUUUUGAAUUUAACUUUUAAGUGAAAAGGCUUAAAUAUUCUAAAGGGACGAUAAGACCCUAUAAAACUUUACAUUGUGAUUAAUUUUAGUUGAAUUUGUAAAAUAAGAAUUUUAUUUGGUUAUUUGUUAUGUUGGGGAGACAUAAGUAAAAUAGUAUUUUAACUGCUUAAUAAUUAUACAAUUAUUAGUGAGUAAUAGAAGAUCCUUUUUAAAGAUUAACAGAUUAAGUUACUUUAGGGAUAACAGUGUAAUUUCUUUUGAGAGUUCUUAUCGAAAAAGGAGGUUGCGACCUCGAUGUUGAAUUAAAAUAUCUAUAUAAUGGAGAGGUUAUAUAAGAAGGUCUGUUCGACCUUGAAAUUUUUACAUGAUUUGAGUUCAGACCGGCG